UCAAGCGAACAAGUGCAUGUGGUGGAUGCCUUGGCGAUCACAGGCGAUGAAGGACGCGGUAGCCUGCGAAAAGCCCGGGGAGCUGGCAAACAAGCUUUGAUCCGGGGAUGUCCGAAUGGGGAAACCCACUCCGUAUGGAGUAUCCAUGACUGAAUACAUAGGUCAUGUGAAGCGAACGCGGUGAACUGAAACAUCUAAGUAACCGCAGGAAAAGAAAUCAACCGAGAUUCCCAAAGUAGUGGCGAGCGAAAUGGGAUGAGCCUUGUACUCUUUAUUCGUAUUGUUAGCCGAACGCUCUGGAAAGUGCGGCCAUAGCAGGUGAUAGCCCUGUAGGCGAAAACAGUAUGAAAGAACUAGGUGUACGACAAGUAGGGCGGGACACGUGAAAUCCUGUCUGAAGAUGGGGGGACCAUCCUCCAAGGCUAAAUACUCGUGAUCGACCGAUAGUGAACCAGUACCGUGAGGGAAAGGCGAAAAGAACCCCGGGAGGGGAGUGAAAUAGAUCCUGAAACCGCAUGCAUACAAACAGUCGGAGCCUCGUAAGGGGUGACGGCGUACCUUUUGUAUAAUGGGUCAGCGACUUACGUUCAGUAGCAAGCUUAACCGUAUAGGGCAGGCGUAGCGAAAGCGAGUCCGAAUAGGGCGUUCAGUUGCUGGGCGUAGACCCGAAACCAGGUGAUCUAUCCAUGGCCAGGAUGAAGGUGCGGUAACACGUACUGGAGGUCCGAACCCACUAACGUUGAAAAGUUAGGGGAUGAGCUGUGGAUAGGGGUGAAAGGCUAAACAAACCUGGAAAUAGCUGGUUCUCUCCGAAAACUAUUUAGGUAGUGCCUCGUGUCUCACCUUCGGGGGUAGAGCACUGUCAUGGUUGGGGGGUCUAUUGCAGAUUACCCCGCCAUAGCAAACUCCGAAUACCGAAGAGUGCAAUCACGGGAGACAGACAUCGGGUGCUAACGUCCGGUGUCAAGAGGGAAACAACCCAGACCGCCAGCUAAGGUCCCCAAAUAUGGCUAAGUGGGAAACGAAGUGGGAAGGCUAAAACAGUCAGGAGGUUGGCUUAGAAGCAGCCACCCUUUAAAGAAAGCGUAAUAGCUCACUGAUCGAGUCGUCCUGCGCGGAAGAUGUAACGGGGCUAAGCCAUAUACCGAAGCUGCGGAUGCGAGCUUGCUCGCAUGGUAGGAGAGCGUUCCGUAAGCCUGCGAAGGUGUCUUGUAAAGGAUGCUGGAGGUAUCGGAAGUGCGAAUGCUGACAUGAGUAGCGAUAAAGGGGGUGAAAGGCCCCCUCGCCGUAAGCCCAAGGUUUCCUACGCAACGUUCAUCGGCGUAGGGUGAGUCGGCCCCUAAGGCGAGGCAGAAAUGCGUAGCUGAUGGGAAGCAGGUCAAUAUUCCUGCACCGUCGUUAGAUGCGAUGGGGGGACGGAUCGCGGAAGGUUGUCCGGGUGUUGGACGUCCCGGUCGCUGCAUUGGAGAAGGCGCUUAGGCAAAUCCGGGCGCAGGAUUCAAGGGUGUGGCGCGAGCGACUUCGGUCGCGAAGCAAUUGGAAGUGGUUCCAAGAAAAGCCUCUAAGCUUCAGUCUAACGAUGACCGUACCGCAAACCGACACAGGUGGGCGAGAUGAGUAUUCUAAGGCGCUUGAGAGAACUCGGGAGAAGGAACUCGGCAAAUUGGUACCGUAACUUCGGGAUAAGGUACGCCCUUGUAGCUUGACCAGCCUGCGCUGGAAGGGUGAAGGGGUUGCAAUAAACUGGUGGCUGCGACUGUUUAAUAAAAACACAGCACUCUGCAAACACGAAAGUGGACGUAUAGGGUGUGACGCCUGCCCGGUGCCGGAAGAUUAAAUGAUGGGGUGCAAGCUCUUGAUUGAAGUCCCGGUAAACGGCGGCCGUAACUAUAACGGUCCUAAGGUAGCGAAAUUCCUUGUCGGGUAAGUUCCGACCUGCACGAAUGGCGUAACGAUGGCCACACUGUCUCCUCCCGAGACUCAGCGAAGUUGAAGUGUUUGUGAUGAUGCAAUCUACCCGCGGCUAGACGGAAAGACCCCAUGAACCUUUACUGUAGCUUUGCAUUGGACUUUGAACCGAUCUGUGUAGGAUAGGUGGGAGGCUAUGAAACCGGAACGCUAGUUUCGGUGGAGCCGUCCUUGAAAUACCACCCUGGUUUGUUUGAGGUUCUAACCUUGGUCCGUGAUCCGGAUCGGGGACAGUGCAUGGUAGGCAGUUUGACUGGGGCGGUCUCCUCCCAAAGGGUAACGGAGGAGUACGAAGGUACGCUAGGUACGGUCGGAAAUCGUGCUGAUAGUGCAAUGGCAUAAGCGUGCUUAACUGCGAGACCGACAAGUCGAGCAGGUGCGAAAGCAGGUCAUAGUGAUCCGGUGGUUCUGUAUGGAAGGGCCAUCGCUCAACGGAUAAAAGGUACUCUGGGGAUAACAGGCUGAUACCGCCCAAGAGUUCAUAUCGACGGCGGUGUUUGGCACCUCGAUGUCGGCUCAUCUCAUCCUGGGGCUGUAGCCGGUCCCAAGGGUAUGGCUGUUCGCCAUUUAAAGAGGUACGUGAGCUGGGUUUAAAACGUCGUGAGACAGUUUGGUCCCUAUCUGCCGUGGGCGUUGGAUAUUUGAAGGGGGCUGCUCCUAGUACGAGAGGACCGGAGUGGACGAACCUCUGGUGUACCGGUUGUGACGCCAGUCGCAUCGCCGGGUAGCUAUGUUCGGAAGAGAUAACCGCUGAAAGCAUCUAAGCGGGAAACUCGCCUUAAGAUGAGAUAUCCCUGGAGGCUUGACCUCCUUGAAGGGUCGUUCGAGACCAGGACGUUGAUAGGUCGGGUGUGUAAGCGCAGUAAUGCGUUCAGCUAACCGAUACUAAUUGCCCGUAAGGCUUGAUCCU
rnacentral:rRNA from 1 species